GUCAAUGUGACGGCCACAAAUGUGUUUUGGUAAAAAGCUAGUUGACUUUUUAACACUAGCCAGAUUACCAUACUUUAAUUCAGUAUUAAUAAGAUUCAGAAAUUAAAUAUCUACAAAAACACUGCCGAAUUAGACCGGAGUACCGAGAGGAGCUCUCAGGCCUGUUAGGUAUUUUAACUACCGUUAGCCAACUGGCUGUUUCAGCUCUCGGUGAAACGCGAUCUUAUUACUGAACUACAGCGUGGUUUAAAAGCUGCUGCUGAUUGAGAAAAACACACCCUGUGCUGGGAGAGAAGGUCGUGAAUCAGCUCUUAAACAGCGCUGGGUGUUUGUUUUGUUUCUGAACGAGCAGGUGACGCUGCAACUGGAUUUUAUAAAGAUAUGAGAAAAGAAUGCUUUCGUCGUGGAUUUAACAUGAAAAGGCCCAGUUCCAAAAGACACAACAUCCUCAGUGUCCUGGAGCUCCAGCUGAAGCACUGGCCACUCCACCUUCUCCAUCCCCACCCAAAAGAGGUUGAUGAAUAUAUGUUAAUACAUUAAUAGCUUAAUAUUAUUACUCUAUUUGUUCUUAUUACUGACUUACCGGGGGAACUAAUUAAGGGACGGAAACACACACAGAGAAAUGUGUUGGCAGUGCUGUUGCUAAUUGUACUUAGUGUCUGCAGUGUACUGGGAGGAUUGUGCUGGGUGCUUAUUAUUUCUCAGGUGGUAAAUCAUGUUUGUUGUUGAAUGUGCAUUUUUUUUCCCUUCCCAUCUUGUAAAAUCCUGCCUUUGCAGUCCACUUUAAAAUAUUUCCAAACAGAGAGGUGUAAUACGCUCUUUCGAUCUUACAGCUGCUGCUCACACUGCUAAUAAAUAAAAAACAAACCCAGUUGAUUUUAUCGGAGCGCCAGUACCCAAACCCGACUGACUAAAACUUUCAAUCGUAACCACCUUACACUUAACGAUUGAGAUGACACGACCGCAACUCAACUGCAGCUCGACUCUAGCCAGACUCUCGUGAUUUUAUCCUGACUCUGGAAAUUUGUCUGCAACUGUGAAAUCAUUGGAAAAUCAUUAGGUACCUGAACACUCUUCUCUCUUCACCCUUAAUGUAGCAGCUACCCACUGAAUAACUGUUAGCCUGUUCUAUAGCGACUGUAAUUUCCUUCUGUCUGUUUCUUACACUCUGUAGGUACUUAUAUAUUUUUUUUAUUGAACGUGGCAGCGUGCCGACAAUCACAAGUAUUGCAAAUGUUGGGAUAAAUUUCAGCCAAUUUAACUUUACUAGAAUGUGCUCUGUGUACUCUGCAGGUACUUCUAAGGCAGCUAGUUGAAGCCGUGAUUGAGGUCCAUGCCAGAGGGGUUCUGCACUGUGACCUCAAGCCAUAGAACAUCCUGGUUCAGAUGUACAGUUAGGAACCACGCCUUCAUCUUCUGUUCUUCUGGACCUUCCUCAUGAGUGGUUUACCCAUGAGGCCAAAUCCUCCACAGUGUUGCAGAUAGGAAUCAUCCUGCUGUGUGUGAGAGGUGACCCUUCAACACCAGCACGGAGAUCACCUCAAAGAAGUCUCAGAUCAUCUCUCCACCAUCUGCUCUAUGACCCCUGGCUAAGUAUACACCACGACACCGCCACCACAUCAGGCACACCUCAGUCAGGUACCAUAUAAAACAAUAAUAAUAAUAAUAAUAAUUUUAAAAAAUCUAUAUUUUCAAUCUCUAGUUUAGAGAGUUCUCUAGUAGAGCUGGGCGAUUAAUCGAUUUUAUCGAUAAAUUUGAAUUUAUAGUUAAGGACAAUGUGUUUUUAUGAAAAUCGAUUUUCUUUGAGUUUUCUUUUUCACCACAGACGCUCCUCUGUGGGCACAGAGUGAGCUUAGCUAGCUCCCUCCAUACCUCCCUCCCUCCAGCGCGCGCACCCCCCGCCCCUCCCUCCCUCCCUCCCUCCCUUGCACGCACAAACACACACACACACACAUACACAAAACACAUGACGGCGGAGCUUAAGAGCAACUGGCUCCGUGAUCUGGAGUUGGUUCGGUUUUGCGGCGUCGGACGUAGACCAAACAGGUCCUCGCUGUAAGGUGAACCAAUUUAUCACUAUACCUUAAACAGAAGCAUGUAGCGGAGUGGGAGAAGUGCUGCUACCAUAGGAAUGAACGCAGCAGCAGCACCAGUUCACCAUUCAACGUUAAACAAGGAACUGUCCCUGGCACAUCUUCCAACCGUGUACCAGGUUUUGUAUGCACUACAAGUUAAGAUGUUUUGCAUAUUCAUGAGAAAAGAUCUCAUUUUAUAGAACACUGGCACUUAUUUAAAUGCUUUGUUUUGCAAUUCUAGCCCAAUAGGGAAAAGAAUUUACUUAAGAGCAUAUAAAUUGUACUUGUUUUCUAUUGUCUACUUUGUAAGUUUUAUCAAAAAAGGGCACCAUUUUAUUUAUUUCUAUUUGUUUUUAAGGGUGUGUUUAUUUAUUUAUUUAUUUUUUAAGUUUGAGGGUGCAUUGUGUCAGUACCUAAACUAUGUUGGAGAAAGCUUUCUAAAAGUCACUAGAUGUUCUCACUGUUUACAAUAGUUUUUUUUUUGCUUGUUUCUGGUUGCACUUUAACCACAAAUGGAAUAUUUUAAGUGAAAACAAAUUAAAUAAGAACUAGUUUUUAACCAUUUCUUUAUAAUCUUUAGUUUGAUUUUUUUCGAUUUUUGAUUUAAAUCGAAAAUUGGAUUUAAAAAAAAAAAAAUCUAAGAUUUUUUUUUCGGCCAUAUUGCCCAGCUCUAUACUCUAGUUUUAGAGGUUUUUUUUUUUAUAAAACACACCUAAGGAAAAUAGCAGGUAUUAAUAAAGCUAUUGAUUCGAUACUUUUAAAAAGGUAAUGAUUUUCUUUAACUAUAUAAAUGUUUUAAUCGUUUUGUGUAUUGUAUGCUUUUAAUUGCUUCCUGUUUUGUAUUUGUGUUCAUGUACAUGGCUUUAAUCCUUUUAUCUUGAUAUUGUUUAUCUUUUGAUGUUUAUUAAUUACUUAACUGUAUUUAUCUUUAUGUAGUAUACUGUUAGUGUUUUAAUCCAUACACUUUUUGUAUAUAUUUCUUUUAUUGCUUAGUUACUUGCUUUAUUAAUGGUUAUUGUAUUGGUGUUUUAGUCUUAUUUUGGGCUUAUAUUCAUUAAAAACAUUUUAACGUUUGUCUUUUAGUGCUUUAAUCAAUUAAUAUUGUACUUACCUUUUACUAUUUUACUAUUAAUCUUUCUGUACUUAAUUAUACAUUAUUUGUUAUUUAUUUUUUUAUAAAAUUAAAGGUGGGUUUAUUAAUUGUAUGUCUUUAUACGGGAUUUUACAUUUGCAUUGUAUAUAUUUUUGUUUCAUUUAAUGUUUAUGCUCUUUGUCUUUUUCAGAUUUUUACAUUUUUAAUUUGUGUAUUGACCCAAGGAGUAUGGGUUCCUCUCAAGGUUUCUAUCUCUCUUUCUGAGAGAAUUUUCUUUGCCGCUGUCUCCUUUGUGCUUACUCAAAAGAGGUUUGGACACUUUUUUUUUUUUUUUUUAAACUGUUCUUAAUUUUGUUUGUUUCUUAACUUUGUCAAUAAAUGUUUUUUUAUUGCUAUCACUUUUGUCUGUUUAUUUGAUCACACUAUCGCUAAGUUUCUUGAAAUGUGUUUAUGGAAAAAAAAAUAAUUUUAAUAUUUUAUUAAAUGUGGAUUUGAUGCCCACAUUCAACCACUUUUUAACACUUCAACUAAACACUGAAAGAAUAAAUCAGAAAUUAUUGAUUUAUUAUUAAUGUAAUGAACAGAGAUGUUCUGAAGUUAAAAGCUGAUUAUCCCAGGUGUCUCAUAUUCCCAAAUAUGAUAAGGUGGAUAAGGUCAUGUCAGCUCCAAGGACAAUUUCAGUUUUGUAUUUCAGUGAAAGUUAUUCCUUUAAUUGAAUUUAUAUAAAUAAUGUAUCUGGUAAUAUGCAAAGGCUCUCAGUGUUGUUACACCUUUUUGUUAUACUUAAAAC